GAGGAAUAUUGGGCAAUGCCCGCAAGGGUGACCCAGCAACGCCGCGUGGAGGAUGAAUGUCGUAAGAUUGUAAACUCCUGUUAGAGGGGAAGAAUAGUACCGGUUGGACCGGUCUAUGACUGUACCCUCAGAGAAAGCCCCGGCUAACUACGUGCCAGCAGCCGCGGUAAUACGUAGGGGGCAAGCGUUGUCCGGAUUUACUGGGUGUAAAGGGCGCGCAGGCGGGAUAAAAAGUCAGUGGUGAAAUCCUACAGCUUAACUGUAGAACUGCCUUUGAUACUUUUAUUCUUGAGUUCGGGAGAGAGAGACGGAAGUCCAGGUGUAGUGGUGAAAUACGUAGAUAUCUGGAAGAACACCAGUUGCGAAGGCGGUCUCUUGGUCCGACACUGACGCUGAGGCGCGAAAGCGUGGGGAGCAAAC
rnacentral:rRNA from 1 species